AUGGCCAGGUGGCCUACUCCUCGGAACGUGACUGAAUUAAGAGGGUUUUGGGGGCUCACGGGAUAUUACAGGAAGUUUGUGCAAGGAUAUGGUAUAAUUGCUAAACCACUCACUCAACUACUGAAGAAACAAGCAUUUGCUUGGUCCUCAGAGGCCCAGGAAGCCUUUGAGAAACUCAAGGCAGCGAUGAUGACUACUCCUGUAUUAGUGUUGCCUGACUUUGACCAGCCGUUCUGCAUUGAAACAGAUGCAUGUGCUACAGGAAUUGGUGCUGUGCUCACUCAAGGAGGACACCCUGUUGCCUUUUAUAGCAAAGCUUUGGGCAUCAAAAAUCAAUCUCUGUCCAUCUAUGAAAAGGAGUUUUUGGCAAUUAUGAUGGCUGUAGAAAAAUGGAGAGCAUAUCUACAGCGAGGGCCUUUUAUUAUCAAAACGGAUCAUCAAAGUCUGUGUCAGUUGGAAGACCAAGUCCUUACAACUGAUGUUCAGAAAAAAGCCAUGACCAAGUUAGUGGGGCUGCAAUUUUAG
rnacentral:rRNA from 1 species